AGAUUGAACGCUGGCGGCAGGCCUAACACAUGCAAGUCGAGCGGUAGAGAGGUGCUUGCAUCUCUUGAGAGCGGCGGACGGGUGAGUAAUGCCUAGGAAUCUGCCUAGUGGUGGGGGAUAACGUUCGGAAACGGACGCUAAUACCGCAUACGUCCUACGGGAGAAAGCGGGGGACCUUCGGGCCUCGCGCCAUUAGAUGAGCCUAGGUCGGAUUAGCUAGUUGGUGAGGUAAUGGCUCACCAAGGCGACGAUCCGUAACUGGUCUGAGAGGAUGAUCAGUCACACUGGAACUGAGACACGGUCCAGACUCCUACGGGAGCAGCAGUGGGGAAUAGUUGGAC
rnacentral:rRNA from 1 species